UCCUACCUUGGCACAAAUAAUUCCAAGAUCC
rnacentral:piRNA from 1 species